AUGAUUUGCCCACUGUCACACAGAACACACUGUGACCUGUCCAAUGAAUGGGCCCUUUGUGCUCCUCUGGGGAAGGGCAACGUCAUCAGCCUCCUAGAGUCAGAAAAUGAAGUCCGGGUCUUUGGGGCCCAGGACUCUGCCCCACAUCCCAGAAAAGAAGGUGCCUGCUCAGCCCAGACCAGAGAGAGAGAAAGCAGUGUGGUGUAGGGGAAUAAAGUCCAGAUUGGGAGUCUGAAGGCUUGGGUU
rnacentral:lncRNA from 1 species